rnacentral:rRNA from 1 species
AUUGAACGCUGGCGGCAUGCCUUACACAUGCAAGUCGAACGGCAGCACGGGAGCUUGCUCCUGGUGGCGAGUGGCGAACGGGUGAGUAAAGCAUCGGAACGUGCCCUGAAGUGGGGGAUAACGUAGCGAAAGUUACGCUAAUACCGCAUAUUCUGUGAGCAGGAAAGCAGGGGAUCGCAAGACCUUGUGCUUUAGGAGCGGCCGAUGUCGGAUUAGCUAGUUGGUGGAGUAAAGGCCUACCAAGGCGACGAUCCGUAGCGGGGCUGAGAGGAUGCUCCGCCACACUGGGACUGAGACACGGCCCAGACUCCGACGGGAGGCAGCGGUGGGGAAUUUUGGACAAUGGGCGCAAGCCUGAUCCAGCCAUGCCGCGUGAGUGAAGAAGGCCUUCGGGUUGUAAAGCUCUUUCGCAAGGGAAGAAAACUUAGUCUCUAACAUAGACUGAGGUUGACGGUACCUUGAUAAGAAGCACCGGCUAACUACGUGCCAGCCGCCGCUGUAACAC